UGGAGCAUCCUGUCUGCUGGUCCCCACGUCACAUCAGAAGACUUAUCGGUUUCACAAAAGGGUAAAGAAUGGAUAAACUAAGGGGAGUAGCAGGAAGGGCAAGUGCGUGUGUGACAGUGGCAUGGUGGAAGUGAUCUGUCUAUGUUUUCAAGACUUAUAUAUGUUUUAGACUUUUGCAUGUGAACUUAUACUAUUUCCUAUUGCAUGAAACUUUGUUAGUUAUCAUGAACUCUAGAGAAUAAUAUCCAUGUUAGUUUCAUAUUGGACACUUUAUGCUCUAGUUAAAAAAGCAUGUAUUAUGUUUCAAGGGGUAGAUAUCAAGUCACGUUAUGGACUCUAGAAUGUCCACAUGUUUGAUAUGUUACAA